CUGAGACUGACUUGGGUUCUGAGAGACACCCUGUCCCGGACCGCAGUGUUAAAAGGACCUGAACAAAGUCUGCUCAAACCUCUUGCUGUGAACCAGCAGAACUUUUGGACAGUUGGCCCUCUGUAUCCACGGGUUCCUUAUUCUUGGAUGUGGAGGGCUGACUGUAAAGGAUUUUGUAAAGGAGCAUCCCUGGAUUUUGGUGUCCACAGAGGGUCUUGGAACCAGUCUCCUUCUGGUACCAAGGGACAACUGUAUGUAUAAUUACACUCUUGUGUGCAAACGUACCUGUAUUCUGUUGAGUGAGUGUGCUGCUCAAGAUUGCUUUCAGUCUUUUACUGUUAGAAGUGAUGUGGUAUGUGUCGUUCCCCUCUCAUGUUUGAACUUUUUUUUUCAUUAUUUUAGUUAGCUUUUUUCUGAAGUUUGAAAAAAAUGCAUUCUAAAACCUACAUAUUUUAGCCUAGUGACUGAGUGUUGCUUCAUUUGAAUGUGAACUUGUUGUGGUCUUAAUGAUUUAUAGAUUAUUUUAUCAAGAGAGU
rnacentral:lncRNA from 1 species